CCUACGGGAGGCAGCAGUGGGGAAUAUUGGGCAAUGGGCGCAAGCCUGACGCAGCAACGCCGCGUGAAGGAAGAAGGCUUUCGGGUUGUAAACUUCUUUUCUGAGGGACGAAGGAAGUGACGGUACCUCAGGAAUAAGCCACGGCUAACUGCGUGCCAGCAGCCGCGGUAAUACGUAGGUGGCAAGCGUUAUCUGGAUUUAUUGGGUGUAAAGGGCGUGUAGGCGGGAAAGCAAGUCAGAUGUGAAAACUCAGGGCUCAACCCUGAGACUGCAUUUGAAACUGUUUAUCUUGAGUGCUGGAGAGGCAAGCGGAAUUCCGGGUGUAGCGGUGAAAUGCGUAGAUAUACGGAGGAACAUCAGUGGCGAAGGCGGAUUGCUGGACCGUAACUGACGCUGAGGCGCGAAAGCGUGGGGAGCAAACAGGAUUAGAUACCCCUGUAGUC
rnacentral:rRNA from 1 species